CUGGAAGAAGAAGCAGGAAUCAGUGUUGUGAGGAGCUGCCCAUAUAAAAUUGCUGAGAAGCUGGUAUCUCUCUGGUUGAAACUUCCUCACAAAGACAUCCAUGGAUAUUGACACCAUGUCUCUCCUACAAGUGCACUGCAAGACAAGACAGGUUUCACCUAUUAGCAUCUAGUUCAUUAUAUUAAUGGAUGCUAAAGCCAGCAAAUUAAUAUUAUCAAUGUAGAUCACAAUACCUAAUGACCAUCUGGGGGAAGGAGAAGAAUGCAGUGAAAUUCCAAUCAGAAGGAAAAGUUCUGGCCAAGUCUCAUGCAAAGCAUGUAAAACUCCAUCAUAUUCAUUAAGUUUCUCUAAAGCACAUGAUAAAUUCUUGCAAAAGUGUGGCUAAUUUUUUUCAAGACUG